UCGGAGGUGUCAACUGCUUUCGCUUCUGCUUGAUAUAUGUUUAAUAGACCAUACAGCAGAAAAUUGGAGGCCGAAGCUGACAAAAUUGGACUACUGCUUGCUGCAAAGGCUUGUGCAGACAUAAGAGCCAGUUCAGUGUUUUGGCAGCAAAUGGAGUUUGUUGAUAGCCUGCAUGGCCAACCCAAGAUGCCAGAAUGGUUAUCUACACACCCUUCUCAUGGCAAUCGAGUUGAGCACUUGGAUAGACUUAUACCUCAGAUUUGGUGGGUCUUGAAUGCCCCUGAAAACCAUUCUGCUCCAUUUCAAAAGUACUUCCCAGUCUUCGUAGUUUAUCUAAACGCAAGUUCACUGCCUUGGAGAGUGUGAGUCCAAGAAGAAAUCCUUUGGGCUAUUUCCUUGGCUUCUCUCCAUGACGAUUCCUGACUCGUGGCCCUGGCAAUCUUGGGAAGACAUCAUCCAGCUUCUUCAGUCCAGACCCUGGGCCCCCCCCUUUCGCCAGGAUCGCCACCACCCAGCCUGGACACAUUGACUGAACUGUUUUCUAGGACACUGCACUCAGCAAGACAUGGUGGUGAGCCCUGACUCUCAGUCUUCAUGAUUGAAGAACUCUUUUGUACAACGCAAAGCACUCAAAAAGAGUGAAUGAAAUGUGCAGCUCAGAGUGUCAUUUCUGAAGGGAGGAGUCUUUCUCUUGGAGAAGAGUCCUCAAUGAGCCUGGCCGAGGCCCGGGAUCUGUGUGAAGUGGACUAAGGAUUAAGUAGGAUGUCAACUGAGACAGAACUUCAAGUAGCUGUGAAAACCAGCGCCAAGAAAGACUCCAGAAAGAAAGGUCAGGAUCGCAGUGAAGCCACUUUGAUAAAGAGGUUUAAAGGUGAAGGGGUCCGGUACAAAGCCAAAUUGAUCGGGAUUGAUGAAGUUUCCGCAGCUCGGGGAGACAAGUUAUGUCAAGAUUCCAUGAUGAAACUCAAGGGCGUUGUUGCUGGCGCUCGUUCCAAAGGAGAACACAAACAGAAAAUCUUUUUAACCAUCUCCUUUGGAGGAAUCAAAAUCUUUGAUGAGAAGACAGGGGCCCUUCAGCAUCAUCAUGCUGUUCAUGAAAUAUCCUACAUUGCAAAGGACAUUACAGAUCACCGGGCCUUUGGAUAUGUUUGUGGGAAGGAAGGGAAUCACAGAUUUGUGGCCAUAAAAACAGCCCAGGCGGCUGAACCUGUUAUUCUGGACUUGAGAGAUCUCUUUCAACUCAUUUAUGAAUUGAAGCAAAGAGAAGAAUUAGAAAAAAAGGCACAAAAGGAUAAGCAGUGUGAACAAGCUGUGUACCAGACAAUAUUGGAGGAGGAUGUUGAAGAUCCUGUGUACCAGUACAUUGUGUUUGAGGCUGGACAUGAGCCAAUCCGUGAUCCCGAAACGGAAGAAAACAUUUAUCAGGUUCCCACCAGCCAAAAGAAGGAAGGUGUUUAUGAUGUGCCAAAAAGUCAACCUGCUGUGACCCAAUUAGAACUUUUUGGGGACAUGUCCACACCCCCUGAUAUAACCUCUCCCCCCACUCCUGCAACUCCAGGUGAUGCCUUUAUCCCAUCUUCAUCUCAGACCCUUCCAGCGAGUGCAGAUGUGUUUAGUUCUGUACCUUUCGGCACUGCUGCUGUACCCUCAGGUUACGUUGCAAUGGGCACUGUCCUCCCGUCCUUCUGGGGCCAGCAGCCCCUCGUCCAACAGCAGAUGGUCAUGGGUGCCCAGCCACCAGUCGCUCAGGUGAUGCCAGGGGCUCAGCCCAUCGCAUGGGGCCAGCCAGGUCUCUUCCCUGCCACUCAGCAGCCCUGGCCAACUGUGGCCGGGCAGUUUCCGCCAGCAGCCUUCAUGCCCACACAAACUGUUAUGCCUUUGCCAGCUGCCAUGUUCCAAGGUCCCCUCACCCCCCUUGCCACCGUCCCAGGCACGAGUGACUCCACCAGGUCAAGUCCACAGACCGACAAGCCCAGGCAGAAAAUGGGGAAAGAAACAUUUAAGGAUUUCCAGAUGGCGCAGCCUCCUCCCGUGCCCUCCCGCAAACCCGACCAGCCCUCCCUCACCUGUACCUCAGAGGCCUUCUCCAGUUACUUCAACAAAGUCGGGGUGGCACAGGAUACAGACGACUGUGAUGACUUUGACAUCUCCCAGUUGAAUUUGACCCCUGUGACUUCUACCACACCAUCGACCAACUCACCUCCAACCCCAGCCCCUAGACAGAGCUCUCCAUCCAAAUCAUCUGCAUCCCAUGCCAGUGAUCCUACCACAGAUGACAUUUUUGAAGAGGGCUUUGAAAGUCCCAGCAAAAGCGAAGAGCAAGAAGCUCCUGAUGGAUCACAGGCCUCAUCCAACAGUGAUCCAUUUGGUGAGCCCAGUGGGGAGCCCAGUGGUGAUAAUAUAAGUCCACAGGCCGGUAGCUAGAUAGCGCAGGUCUGGGAGCCGGAGCCUCUCUACGCGCAGAUCAACAGACCUAAGAAAUAGCAUCGAUGCGAGCUCGUGGUGGGUGCUCAAGACUGGCAUGGACAUCAGCAUCACGACAGGCUCUCUUGUAUUCUUUCACCUCAUCCCACAAGAAAUUCAUGAUUGCCCAAUGGAACUCGCUCAGAAGAGGGAACUAAGCGUUUUUGGCAACCAAUGGCAGAUAUCUAUGGCAGCACACAAAAAAA
rnacentral:sRNA from 1 species